rnacentral:rRNA from 1 species
AUUGAACGCUGGCGGAAUGCUUUACACAUGCAAGUCGAACGGUAGAGGGGGCAACCCCUCGAGAGUGGCGAACGGGUGAGUAAUAUAUCGGAACGUGCCCAGUCGUGGGGGAUAACGUAGCGAAAGUUACGCUAAUACCGCAUACGAUCUAAGGAUGAAAGCGGGGGAUCGCAAGACCUCGCGCGAUUGGAGCGGCCGAUGUCAGAUUAGGUAGUUGGGGGGGGAAAGGCUCACCAAGCCAACGAUCUGCAGCGGGGCUGAGAGGACGACCAGCCACACUGGAACUGAGACACGGUACAGACUCCUACGGGAGGCAGCAGUGGGGAAUUUUGGACAAUGGACGCAAGUCUGAUCCAGCCAUUCCGCGUGCAGGAUGAAGGCCCUCGGGUUGUAAACUGCUUUUGUACGGAACGAAAAGGUCUCUCUUAAUACGGGGGGCUCAUGACGGUACCGUAAGAAUAAGCACCGGCUAACUACGUGCCAGCCGCCGCGGUAA